rnacentral:rRNA from 1 species
UUAUCAGGAGGGAAAAAUGGAAUUAGGGAGUAGGACCAGCUGAAAACCAUCUAGGAUGGCGGUUUUUUUUAUUAUUAGACAGAUGUGUUUUUAAAACGAAAAUACACGAGCAUCUUUCUUACUCUUGAACCCCUCAUCCUGUACACCGCCGUCUGAAGAGUAAGUUUAAAUGGCUAACUCUAUUUCUAUUUCUACAGAAAUAAGUCAGGUAAGGUGCAGACCAUGGGUAAGAAAAAAUGCAUUUCACUAAACCCCUAGGGAGCAGGUUGAAAGCCUUUCCCAAGAUGAAUUUAAUAGUAAGGUUUUUUAAUCAUAAAAAUCUGAAUUAAUUUCAAGAAAAUGUACACAUCGCCCGUCG